AGGUGCUUGAAGAACCCCAACUUGGUGUUGAGGAAGUUCAUGGGCAGAAACAUGAUUCAUAGACAAAAGCAGACCAGGUUUGAAACUUGUCUAGCUAGGCUUGUAAAGUUGUGGAGGGCUAAAGGUGUUCCAAAAACUGAAUGAGAAGCAAACUACAGCACUUCCCGUGGUGACAUGUCAGAGGCCAAAGAGGGCUGUCUAUCAAAAUGCAUGACAGAUUAGUUUAUUAUCUGUUACGCUUUGAGUGGGAAGGCUUGGGAUCUUAUGCAUCAGCACUGGUUAAUCCGAUCCAGUUGUUUCUUGAGUAGAUCCAAAUUGAAAAACCAAUAGAAGUAUUUGCACCAAAAGAUGUGGAGUAUUUGGUGGACUAUUGAAGUACAGUGACAACGAAUCCAUAUUUCCUAAAAUGCUUGCCAAUCUGUUUCUUGGAGCUAUAUAUGAGCAUUCAUGUAGCCAAUGGAGCCGCCAAGUGUUGCUAUCAAGUAUUUGUUUGGGAAGAUUGAAGAGGUGCUUGGGCUAGGCUGCCAUUGCUUGCCUUGGUUUUUUCCCACUCAUCCUGUUGGAUUUCUACCAUUGAGACAUCGGAUGUCAAGUUUGAAAACCAAUACAAAGUUUCCUAUUUUUCUUCAUCAGUUUACCUAGUCUAUAUCAUCAUUUAACAACAAUGGUUAUAGUGAUAAACGUUCUGCCACUACUUUUCUUUUGCAUCGAUGUGGUUUAUAAUGCUUCAAUGCUUUUACUUAUGAAAAAGUUGGAAAAUUUCAUGU